rnacentral:rRNA from 1 species
GUAGGUGGCGAGCGUUGUCCGGAAUUAUUGGGCGUAAAGCGCGCGCAGGUGGUUCUUUAAGUCUGAUGUGAAAGACCCCCGGGCUCAACCGGGGAGGGUCAUUGGAAACUGGGGAACUUGAGUGCAGGAGAGGAAAGUGGAAUUCCACGUGUAGCGGUGAAAUGCGUAGAUAUGUGGAGGAACACCAGUGGCGAAGGCGACUUUCUGGCCUGUAACUGACACUGAGGCGCGAAAGCGUGGGGAGCAAACAGGAUUAGAUACCCUGGUAGUCCACGCCGUAAACGAUGAGUGCUAAGUGUUGGGGGGUUUCCGCCCCUCAGUGCUGCAGCUAACGCAUUAAGCACUCCGCCUGGGGAGUACGGUCGCAAAGACUG